AAAAGAUUUUAUUUAUUCAUGAGAGACACAGAGAGAAAGGCAGAGACACAGGCAGAGGGAAAAGCAGGCUCCAUGCAGGGAGCCGACGUGGGACUCAAUCCCGGAUCUCUGGGAUCAGGCCCUGGGCUGAAGGUGGCGCUAAACUGCUGAGCCACUCAGGCUGCCCAAGAGGUCACUUGAGUCUUAAAACUCUUGAUAAUGUUUUGUUUCUGUUGAACAGUCAUUGGUGAGACAGUGGCAGAGUAACAGCCUUUUAGACUUGGGGAAUCAUAUGUUUGAAUGCUGCAAAGUUGCAAAUACUAAGAGGAUUAUAAUCAUAGUAUGUAGCCCACUGUGAAUCUAGAAGCCAUGAGCAGUCAAAUUAAACCAGAGAACAUAUCCUGUCCCAAUCUAUAGAGCCUGUCAUAGCAGACCUAAGGAUAUCAGAUUACCUAAUGUUAUAGUUUCUUUGUGUGUUUUUCAGAUAUUUGUAGGAACAAUAGUCUGGAAAAGUUUGUGAGCAAUAGGCACAUUAUUCCCAUAAAAUGUCACACAUUUUGCUUUGAAAGCUGCAAAGCUGCAUAUGACUAGGGCUCCUCAAUUUUGAACCACUUUGUUGAUCUUGUGAAAUUCUUUGGUGGGAGAUCUAUAGCCUUAGUGGCAUUGUCUAGUCCUUCUGUAGUUCUUAGAAUCAUAAUGUGCAGAAUGUCUCUACCUUUUAGGUAUACUUUGAAACUUGAAAUGAGGAGUUGUGAAUAAAGAAAAAAAAGUAAUCCAGAAUAGUUGUUAAGUUCACAAACUGCUGCGGAUCAAUUUUUCUUCUUCAAGAAUUGGCUAAAGAGCUUUUUUGUUUUUCUUUCUGGUAGAUAUCUGAAGAUCAAAGAAAAUAUGGAUAAAAUGGAGUUUUUGAAUGAGUGGUGAGAUUUUUCAGCUUCCUGAUGACAGUUUCAGUGACAUAAGUUCCUUUAGCACUGGACACAUAUGGGAUUUGAAUUUUCAAGAAAGUCUUUUUAGUCCCUGGAAGACAUCUUCGCCAAGUGAUAGAUUACUGCUGCAUUUUGAAUAAAUGAAUUUGCUGUCUCCACUAAGGUAAGCCCUUCCUUAGUUAAGGUAAGUUCUGUUACUUUCUCACUGGAUGCUGAAGGAUGUGUAAUCACUUUCAUAAACAGAAAGAACUAUUUUUCCAUGCCACUUUAUUUUUCAACUUCUAAAGGCCAAAAAGAAAAAAAGAAAAAAGAAAGAAGGAAAACCUGAAAAAAAAAAAAAAAACAGUAAUACAUUAUUUUGCGGCAGAAAAAGCUCCAUUGAGGUGAAAAUUUGGGUGUUGUGAUUAAGAAAAGAUUAAGGAUAUAAAUUAG
rnacentral:lncRNA from 1 species